UUUGCUUGAUAGGUGCAGCACAAAAGUGGGGAGGUAAACUCCUUCUAAAAGCUAAAUAUCUCCACGGAGACCCGAUUAGCGAACAAGUACCGUGAGGGAAAGUUGAAAAGCACUUCUGAAUAGAGAGUCAAAAAAGUACGUGAAACUGCCUAGGGUCAAGCCCGUUGAACUCGAUUAUCCGAGCGGAGACAUUCACCUGCGGUUGGCCGGCAACGGUCCGCCGCAGGGCACUUGUCUCCCGCGCACAAGAGGACAUUGCGAUCCAUUACGAAACAGCUUUGGCGUCGCAAGACGCAAGGUCGCCCGACAGUUGCCCCCUGGUGCUGGUUGCUUGCCCCACAGUAGCGACGCUCAGUUCUGAAGGCCUGUGCCGCGAGGUGGGGCUUACUGCACGUGGUGUUUGCAGUCGGGCGCGUGAUGGAUUUCCGCGCACGCCGCCGGUCUUCCCGCAAUGGACCGGCGGACCGUCGAUCGGCAAUGAUAAAAUCGAGGUACCUUCGGGACCGUCUUGAAACACCCGACAAGA
rnacentral:rRNA from 1 species